UACGGAGGGUGCAAGCGUUAAUCGGAAUUACUGGGCGUAAAGCGUGCGCAGGCGGUUUGUUAAGUCUGUUGUGAAAUCCCCGAGCUCAACUUGGGAAUUGCAAUGGAUACUGGCAGGCUGGAGUAUGGUAGAGGAAGGUGGAAUUCCCGGUGUAGCAGUGAAAUGCGUAGAGAUCGGGAGGAACACCAGUGGCGAAGGCGGCCUUCUGGACCAAUACUGACGCUCAUGCACGAAAGCGUGGGGAGCAAACGGG
rnacentral:rRNA from 1 species